rnacentral:rRNA from 1 species
AUUGAACGCUGGCGGAAUGCUUUACACAUGCAAGUCGAACGGCAGCACGGACUUCGGUCUGGUGGCGAGUGGCGAACGGGUGAGUAAUAUAUCGGAACGUGCCCAGUCGUGGGGGAUAACGUAGUGAAAAUUACGCUAAUACCGCAUACGAUCUAAGGAUGAAAGCGGGGGAUCGCAAGACCUCGCGCGAUUGGAGCGGCCGAUGUCAGAUUAGCUAGUUGGUGGGGUAAAGGCCCACCAAGGCGACGAUCUGUAGCUGGUCUGAGAGGACGACCAGCCACACUGGGACUGAGACACGGCCCAGACUCCUACGGGAGGCAGCAGUGGGGAAUUUUGGACAAUGGGCGCAAGCCUGAUCCAGCAGUGCCGCGUGCAGGACGAAGGCCUGGUUGUAAACUGCUUUGUUACAGAACG